UACGAAGGGGGCUAGCGUUGUUCGGAUUUACUGGGCGUAAAGCGCACGUAGGCGGAUCGUUAAGUUGGGGGUGAAAUCCUGGAGCUCAACUCCAGAACUGCCUUCAAUACUGGCGAUCUAGAGUCCGGAAGAGGUGAGUGGAACUCCUAGUGUAGAGGUGGAAUUCGUAGAUAUCAGGAGGAACACCGGUGGCGAAGGCGGGUCUCUGGGCCGAUAUUGACGCUGAGGAGCGAAAGCGUGGGGAGCAAACAGG
rnacentral:rRNA from 1 species